UACGUAGGGGGCUAGCGUUGUCCGGAAUCAUUGGGCGUAAAGCGCGUGUAGGCGGCCCGGUAAGUCCGAUGUGAAAUCUCCAGGCUCAACCUGGAAAUGGCAUUGGAUACUAUUUAGCUUGAGGAGUGGAGGGGGGACUGGAAUUCUCGGUGUAGCAGUGAAAUGCGUAGAUAUCGAGAGGAACACCAGUGGCGAAGGCGAGUCCCUGGACACUUCCUGACACUGAGGCACGAAAGCUAGGGGGAGCAAACAGG
rnacentral:rRNA from 1 species